rnacentral:rRNA from 1 species
ACGGAAGGCAGCAGUGGGGGAUAUUGCACAAUGGGGGAAACCCUGAUGCAGCGACGCCGCGUGAGUGAAGAAGUAUUUCGGGUUGUAAACCGCUUUCAGCAGGGACGAUUAUGACGGUACCUGCAGAAGAAGCUCCGGCUAACUACGUGCCAGCAGCCGCGGUAAUACGUAGGGAGCGAGCGUUAUCCGGAUUCAUUGGGCGUAAAGCGCGCGUAGGCGGCUUGCUAAGCGGAACCUCUAAUCCGAGGGCUCAACCCCCGGCCGGGUUCCGAACUGGCAGGCUCGAGUGCGGUAGGGGCAAGUGGAAUUCCAUGUGUAGCGGUGGAAUGCGCAGAUAUAUGGAAGAACACCGAUGGCGAAGGCAGCUUGCUGGGCCGACACUGACGCUGAGGUGCGAAAGCGUGGGGAGCGAACAGGAUUAGAUACCCUGGUA